GGACCGAGGUGUGAUUUCAGGUGUGAGACCCUGAUCACGCUGUGAGUCCAGCGCAUCUUGUUAACUUGAAAUUCUUUAUUAUUUCAAGGAUUUUAAGAUUAUAAAUCAUACGAUAAUACUUCAUGAGAGUCAGAUGAGUAUCCAGCUGAAGGGAGUCUUGGUGCAGGUGAUGCUGCGGCACUUGGAUCCACACACUGCGGGAGAGAGGCUGCAGGCUGACGGAGGAAUCACCGGGCAGUAUGAGCCAGAGACCGGGCAAUCCUGGUGCUCCGAAAGAUGCCUGCUCCUAUUGGACCGGAAGAAAGAGUUCACCUGCGAGGAUCAGCCGGUGACGACACACACUGUCAGGCCUCUCUCUAUGAAGAAGGAAUGUCUGACAGCCAAAUUGCACAACAUGCCACUCAGCGCAGCAGUCAGAGGGAACCUGUGGAUGUGUCCGUACCUGUCUGAGAGAGGAGGUCAAACGUCUGCAGAGGAAUUUAUUAAAACAAUCUCUGAUUACUUUGACUUGACACUUUGCUCGUUCAUUAUUAAUGAGUCCUAAUGGCUGCGGGGAGUAUUGAUCAGUCGCAUCGUCGGCUCUUUUCUUUGCUCGCUUACAUAGUUUCUAACAUGCAUGGUGGGGGAG